GCGGAUAUGGUUGAAUGGUAAAAUAUCUCCUUGCCAAGGAGAAGACGCGGGUUCGAUUCCCGCUAUCCGCU
rnacentral:tRNA from 2 species